GGUUCGAUGGCGUAGUUGGUUAUCGCAUCUGUCUAACAUUUGUGUUCCACAGAAGGUCCCCGGUUCGAGCCCGGGUCGAAUCA